rnacentral:rRNA from 1 species
UACGAAAGGUGCAAGCGUUAAUCGGAAUUACUGGGCGUAAAGCGUGCGCAGGCGGUUUUGUAAGUCUGUCGUGAAAUCCCCGGGCUCAACCUGGGAAUUGCGAUGGAGACUGCAAGGCUAGAAUCUGGCAGAGGGGGGUAGAAUUCCACGUGUAGCAGUGAAAUGCGUAGAGAUGUGGAGGAACACCGAUGGCGAAGGCAGCCCCCUGGGUCAAGAUUGACGCUCAUGCACGAAAGCGUGGGGAGCAAACAGG